rnacentral:sRNA from 1 species
UAUAUCUUUGCGGUUUUAGUGGCAGAAAGCUAGAUAAACUGAGAAGACUUAUUAACAGUGGAGGUGGAGUUCGUUUUAACCAGCUAAAUGAAGAUGUAACUCAUGUUAUUGUGGGAGAUUAUGAUGAUGAAUUGAAGCAGUUUUGGAAUAAAUCAGCCCACAGGUUUUUUUCGUUUUUAAUUCAAAGCAAUUUCUACUACAUAAUUUUUCUUAAAAUUGCAUAUCCACGCAGUUCUGGAAACUGCAUGACAAGUGGGAUGAUGGUCUUUAUAGCUUGCACUAAUACAUAACUAUGUGCUAUUUUUGUAGGCCUCAUGUAGUGGGAGCAAAGUGGUUGCUAGAGUGUUUCAGUAAAGGUUAUAUGCUUUCUGAAGAACCAUAUAUCCAUGCUAAUUACCAGCCAGUGGAAAUUCCAGUUUCACAUCAGCCUGAAAGUAAAGCAGCUCUUUUAAAAAAGAAGAACAGCAGCUUCUCUAAGAAAGACUUUGCUCCUAGUGAAAAGCAUGAGCAAGCUGAUGAAGAUCUGCUCUCUCAAUAUGAAAAUGAUAGCUCCACAGUAGUUGAGGCUAAGACGUCUGAAGCCAGGCCCUUUAAUGAUUCUACUCAUGCUGAGCCCUUGAAUGAUUCUACUCACAUUUCUUUGCAAGAAGAAAACCAGUCUUCUGUCAGUCAUUGUGUCCCUGAUGUUUCUACAAUUACUGAAGAAGGCUUAUUUAGCCAAAAGAGUUUCCUUGUUUUGGGUUUUAGUAAUGAAAAUGAAUCUAACAUCGCAAACAUCAUAAAAGAAAAUGCUGGGAAAAUCAUGUCCCUU